rnacentral:rRNA from 1 species
AAUUACCCAAUCCUGACACAGGGAGGUAGUGACAAGAAAUAACAAUACAGGGCUUAAAGUCUUGUAAUUGGAAUGAUGGGAAUCUAAACCCUUCCCAGAGUAUCAAUUGGAGGGCAAGUCUGGUGCCAGCAGCCGCGGUAAUUCCAGCUCCAAUAGCGUAUAUUAAAGUUGUUGCAGUUAAGAAGCUCGUAGUUGAAUUUCUGCCUUGUCAUUAAUCUCGCUUCCGAGCGUUUUUUUAUUGACUUGGCAUCUUCUGGGUUUGGUGCCUUCGGGUACUAUUUUCCAGGAUUUACUUUGAGAAAACUAGAGUGUUUCAAACAGGCAUUCGCCUUGAAUACUACAGCAUGGAAUAAUGAAGUAGGACUUUGGUUCUAUUUUGUUGGUUAUUGAGCCAGAGUAAUGGUUAAUAGGAGCAGUUGGGGGCAUUCGUAUUUAA